CAGGCUCAGAACGAACGCUGGCGGCAGGCCUAACACAUGCAAGUCGAGCGCGCCCUUCGGGGUGAGCGGCGGACGGGUUAGUAACGCGUGGGAAUAUACCCUUUUCUGCGGAAUAGCCUCUGGAAACGGAGAGUAAUACCGCAUACGCCCUUCGGGGGAAAGAUUUAUCGGGGAAGGAUUAGCCCGCGUUAGAUUAGGUAGUUGGUGGGGUAAUGGCCUACCAAGCCUACGAUCUAUAGCUGGUUUUAGAGGAUGAUCAGCAACACUGGGACUGAGACACGGCCCAGACUCCUACGGGAGGCAGCAGUGGGGAAUCUUGGACAAUGGGCGCAAGCCUGAUCCAGCCAUGCCGCGUGAGUGAUGAAGGCCUUAGGGUCGUAAAGCUCUUUCGCCUGUGAAGAUAAUGACGGUAGCAGGUAAAGAAACCCCGGCUAACUCCGUGCCAGCAGCCGCGGUAAUACGGAGGGGGUUAGCGUUGUUCGGAAUUACUGGGCGUAAAGCGCACGUAGGCGGACUGGAAAGUUGGGGGUGAAAUCCCAGGGCUCAACCCUGGAACUGCCUCCAAAACUAUCAGUCUAGAGUUCGAGAGAGGUGAGUGGAAUUCCGAGUGUAGAGGUGAAAUUCGUAGAUAUUCGGAGGAACACCAGUGGCGAAGGCGGCUCACUGGCUCGAUACUGACGCUGAGGUGCGAAAGUGUGGGGAGCAAACAGGAUUAGAUACCCUGGUAGUCCACACCGUAAACGAUGAAUGCCAGUCGUCGGGUAGCAUGCUAUUCGGUGACACACCUAACGGAUUAAGCAUUCCGCCU
rnacentral:rRNA from 1 species